UCACCUCAAAGCAAUAGUGGGUUAAUUCCUUCUUUUGCAAUUGGAUGUUGAAGGCUUGCUGGUGCCCUUGAUGCAAUCCAGCUCCUUUUAAAUGCAUUAGCAGGACUUUGCAUGACCAGCUCCAGUUUGAUACAAGAGUUAUCUGAGCUGCUGCUGUGAAAGCUCCUAAAGUCAUCUGCUUCUCGAACAGUCUGUGGACUUUGUCCUAGUGGACAAACAUACUUUGA
rnacentral:misc_RNA from 1 species